GGCAUCUCAGUGGGAGAAUCUAUGCAACGUUCGCGUUUCAUAGUGCCGAAGGAGCAACCGCCCCGGUAAACUCUCAGGCAUCAGGACCACGGGGAUGUA
rnacentral:ncRNA from 2 species